CGGAGUGUGCGAGCGUUACUCGGAAUCACUGGGCAUAAAGCGCGCGUAGCGGGCUGUCAAGUCGGUUGUGAAAUCCCUCAGCUCAACUGAGGAACUGCAUCCGAUACUGUCGGCCUCGAGGACGAGAGGGGAGAGUGGAACUUCUGGUGGAGCGGUGAAAUGCGUAGAUAUCAGAAGGAACGCCGGUGGCGAAAGCGACUCUCUGGCUCGUAUCUGACGCUGAGGCGCGAAAGCUUGGGUAGCAAACGGGAUUAGAUACCCCGGUAGUCCAAGCCGUAAACGAUGAGCACUAGGGAGAGGAGACCCCGAUGUCUUCUCUCCUGGAGCAAAUGUAUUAAGUGCUCCGCCUGGGGAGUACAGUCGCAAGGCCG
rnacentral:rRNA from 1 species